CUCGGUGACCAUAGCGAAGGGGCCACACCCGUUCCCAUUCCGAACACGGAAGUUAAGCCCUUCAGCGGCGAUGGUACUGCGGUGUAGGCCGUGGGAGAGUAGCACGUUGCCGGGA
rnacentral:rRNA from 1 species